AUAUAUACAAGUGCUAUUCUACACCCUAGGUGUAGAAUACUAUUCUACACCAAACUGUUAUACUGAACAAAAUUCAGUAUCACUCAGUAUUCAUGUUUCAGUAUUGUUCAGUAUUUCGUGGUCCUGAGUGUUGGGCAAGUUGAUACUGAACACUCUCUAGUACUGCUCAGUAUUUUUUCUACUCAGUUUUGACUUGCGGUGUAGAAUAGCGCUACCGUGUGUGUAUAUAUAUAUAUAUAUAUAUAUAUAUAUAUAUAUAUAUUAUUCUAUAGGUAGGUCAUCCCACGCACCCGAUGACCCUUGGCGCGACCAGGCAGCGGACGAGCGCGAGAUUCCUGGUCCUCCUAUAGCUCCUGGCUCCCAAUCGGCACAGCUCGCCUAGUUACGGGAGCCGCGCAUCACACUGAUGAUUCCUCAGGCCGAGUAAUAGAUCAGCGACAUGCAUGCAUCCUUGAUUAGCGACGGAUUUUUUUUCCCGCUUAUCCACAGUCAACGAUACGACCACAUGCAUGCAUCAUUGGUGUUCACGUAGGCCUAUAUGCAUACGUGACCACACCUUCUGAAAUUACUAAAAUAUUUUAAUGUUUAUGAGAAUACAUACCUAUUCAUAGAAUCUUUAAUGAGUUCUCGUAUUUGUUUCAAAGAUUACGAGAAUACAACUUCUGAAAUUACGAGAAUUUUGUAUUGUAUCCCAAUCAACAGUUUAUAUUACCAGAACAACAUAGGCUAUAGUUAGGAUGUAAAAUUACCACAAUUUGGCGUCUUGAUGUUCCAACUCACUUGGUAGUAAAAUGACGGAAAUAAUUUACAAUGAAGUAAUUACGAUAAUUUUAGUGCCUAGAGAUAGGGAGUUACCACAAUUAGGUGUCGAAAAUUUUCUAAGGAUCUAGUUUCUAUAACGGGGAGGUCAAAUUACAAUAAACCAGAAAUACAUUAUUUAUGAUAUUUUUGUUGGAGAAUUGCCACAACUUCCUAUCGAGUCGCUAUAAGAAAACACUUACAUUUCUCAACAAAUGAGAAAGAAACCACUUACAACAUUUCAGAAUAUUGGAAAUGAUAAUUAGGCUGUGGUGUUACAUACAAUUGGCAUGAAAGUGAUUACAUAUUUCUCAAAAAAAAAAAACUUGUAAAAAAUAGAAACAGUACAUUGAUCUAUUUUUCCAUUAGAAUGAUACUAGGUCUCCACUCAUUUUGAACGACUCUAGGACGAUCAAGAUCAUGCCAUAUGAGCCUCAGGUCAAGCUCAAAGCUGCUUAGUCAAUGUUUAGUGGAUGCAAAAGCAUGUAGAAGUGCAGCUCUAACCCAAACUUGGGCCCCUUCUCGUUCAUCUGUGGUGAAUGAACAUUAGAACGAAUAACACAUCUGUGAUUUACAUUAUAAGCUAACCAUGAUACAUGAUAAGUCAUUAACAAGAACAAAUGAAUUUACUGUAACCUUGGCCUAAGUAACCACCGGAAUUAAUUCCAUUAGUUCAGUUCUGGUUUUCUAAAUCAAAUUGAUUUCAAUCUGCAAUGGUGAAAAGUAGAAAACAUCACUGAGAAUGGGGGUCUCACCAGCAAAAUAAGAAAGCAAGCUUGUUUCAAACUGCAGGAGCAAGAAAAAUUGAUAGUUGAGCCAUGUACAUGCAGGAUCAAAUACAGGUGAAUGGCCCGAUCACGAAAAAAAAUAUACAUGCAGGAUCGUCAAUUGGUUGACACAGUUACUAUAAACACAAAAUUGGUUACUGGAAGAUCGAUAUGUUAUUUACGAUAAUUUUGUACCAUAACAGUAUCUAAGUUACAAUAUAUAAGUAAAAAAUACAGUAGUGCCACAAUGCUUUACAGCAAAUUUUGAAUAUGAUAUGAUGCUUGUAACAUCAAAAUCUAAGUUACGAUGUAAGUCAAAAUUUUGGCCACCAGAUAUUUAAAAUGGACACACAAAACCUGCAAGUGCCUAAAAUUGAUGGCAUGAAACAGAAUUACCAUAAGACAGUGAUGCUUAUGGAAAGGAUUGGUCUACACGAAUACACAGAAAACAAGGAAGACUAGUGUAUAUGAUUUUCACAGGAAACAAGUAUCACAAGAUCGCUGAAACCAUGAACACUGACUGAAGUAACAGCUACCUCAAUCCAAAUGAGAACCAAAAUUAUGGAAUCUGGUAAGGUUGAUUUCAGAAAACACAAGUAGAACAUGAACUCUAGCAUAAAUUGUGGUAAUUCACAAUCAUAAUUAACAUGUCUAGCUAUUCAACAUAUCGUAACCAUUUCUUGCUAAUUUAGCAUAAUAUGCAGUAGUUGUUAAUUCUUAAUUAUCACCUCAAGUCACCAGACUUAUCGUAAUCUUAAUUAUCAUGCUGAACCAUCCAACUUAUCAUAACAAAGCCAUUUUGCAGUAAUUGGUUACGAUAAUACAUUUAGGUGAUCAAGAUAUGAUAAUACAUUUACCAGAAUAGCAUUAUCUACUUACUACAAAAAAAAAAACAAAUAUAGCACAAUGGAGUCAUCGGGUCGUUGCUGAUAUUGAUAUGAGGAAGCAAAGAGGGACCAACAAAUAAGAAAUCAUGCUUGUUUGAAAAUGCAGCCACAUUAAACAUUGGGAAUAGUUGAUUAUUUCUUGGCUAACAGAAUGGCGUCGAGAUGCAUAUGGUCUAGCAACGUUCGCGCAAGCAAGGAACCUCCGCUAUCAUCUUGUGCUAUGCAGUAACAAUUUUUACUCAACAGAUCUAAAACAAAGGUGUUCAUUCAAAUAAAAAAAAAAUCUAAAACAAAAUAAAUUCAUUAUUACAGGAUUAGUGCUAGUAUGGAAUGGCUCACUUGGAGCAUACCUUUUUCUUCAAAACUGUCCAUCGGAAUUAAGCUCGGAGCAGUGCAGAACGAGCGGUCGAGAGGCUGCUUCCUCAGAGGCCUUGAGGCUCCGUACUGGCAGCACUAGCAGUAGCAGCGCGCUGCCUCCCCGAUCGGUCACCAUUCACCAACGCCGCACUCGAGGGAUACCGCUCGCGUGGGGUAGGUUUCGCUUGUGUCGGGUCCCCCGUCCAGGCGUCCACGCGAGGCAAGGCACCGCUGCUGGAGGACGCAUCGCCGCCGAGGGGCCAAUCCGCGCGGUGCCUGACGCGCCGAUGCCGAGGGGCGGAUGGAGGCACCACAGCCAUGCCCUGCCGCCUGCGGAGAAGAAGGAGCACCGCCGGCAGCCACCAUCUGUCGAUCCGCAUCAUCAGCUGCGACCGUCUGACACACACCGCAUCAGCCGUUGUGGAAGGCCGCUGCCACCACCAUGGGAGGCCGGAUCUGCUAGGGGAAGAGGCGGUGCCGCCGACCUAGAUCUGAAAAGAGGUGGGGCAGGUGAUGCAGGGGCCAUUGCCGCCGGUGUGGUCGGGGUUGCGGAGGGCCCGUCCGAGCCCGACGUCGUCUUCUUCACGGGGGAGCGGUGCCACUGCCAGAUAUCUAGCUUCUGCGGUUUUCUCGGAAUGGACAAGCGAUGGUGGCGGGUAUAGGUCCACCACUGACUGGCUCGGGAAUUAAUGUCCAUAUGUGAAACCGAGCCGGCAGGCAGGGUGUGGCGAGCUGAAUCGCCGAUGGCCGAGUGGGUGGGGAGUAGUGCGGCUGUGCGGGCGGGGGUGGAGCACGCUCCAAGCGGGUUGAAACUGCUGGCUGGUUAGGUCAGUACGUUUAAUCGGAGUCGGCUACAAAAUUCAUUAUUCUGUACCCAGACACACACAAUAUAUAGAGUAAAAUACGCUGGCGGCCCUUUAACUUGUCAGUCUGUACCACUUUGGUCCAUGAACUUGCAAACCCGAAAAAGUGACCCCUGAACUUGUCUGUCUGUGCCACUUUGGUCCAUGAACUUGCAAACGCGAAAAAAUGCCCCCUAAACUUGUCGACCUGUGCCACCUUGGUCCAUGAACAUGCAAAUACGAAAAUAACACCAGCUGCAUGGCACUGUUCUGCCACGUGGCUGCCUCUGGUAGGCCAUGCAUGGCACUGUUUAUGGUGUUGACAUCAGCUGGGUGCCAUGCAUGGCCUACCAGAGGCGGCCACGUGGCAGAACAGUGCCAUGCAGCUGGUGUUAUUUUCGUAUUUGCAUGUUCAUGGAUCAAUGUGGCACAGGUCGACAAGUUUAGAGGGCACUUUUUCGCGUUUGCAAGUUCAUGGACCAAAGUGGCACAGGCGGACAAGUUCAGGGGUCAUUUUUUUGGGUUUGCAAGUUCAUAAACCAAAGUGGCACAGGCUGACAAGUUAAAGGACCGCCAGUAUAUAUAUAUAUAUAUAUAUAUAUAUAUAUAUAUACGGCAGCGCUAUUCUACACCCUAGGUGUAGAAUA
rnacentral:lncRNA from 1 species